rnacentral:rRNA from 1 species
UACGAGGGGGGCUAGCGUUGUUCGGAAUCACUGGGCGUAAAGGGCGCGUAGGCGGCUUUAUAAGUCGGGGGUGAAAGCCUGUGGCUCAACCACAGAAUUGCCUUCGAUACUGUAGAGCUUGAGACCGGAAGAGGUAAGUGGAACUGCGAGUGUAAAGGUGAAAUUCGUAGAUAUUCGCAAGAACACCAGUGGCGAAGGCGGCUUACUGGUCCGGUUCUGACGCUGAGGCGCGAAAGCGUGGGGAGCAAACAGG